CUUUGCCAGGGUGCCCUAAUCUCUUGCCUCACUGACCAAGCACCACAGUGCCUGGCGUAGCUCCUUUUAUUCUUGCCUAAUAUUUCGUGAUGAUAAACAUUUUAGUAAGCAGCUAUUUUAGUUCCACCUCUGUAGAGAAGAAGUCAAGUCCCAGCACUCUUGCGUCUUUCAGCAGCACUCCUCACAGAACCUCCUGCCACCACCUUGGGCUCUGUCUUUUGCUGCCACCUGAGCAAGCCUGGGCCCUGCCCGCCGUCCCUCAUCGAUUUUUGUCUCGAGCGAAUCGAUGUUCCUGCGUCCUCCGCCACAGCCCUCAUCCUGCAGUCUUUCCCACGCCUACGUAUGCAGAGCCGCUCAGGGCCUAGGCCGCACGCUCGAGUGCAGUGAUGGCCCUGGUGUCCCACCCCAGUGCACGUGCCACGGGCUCCGGGCGUCCCGCCCCCCCGGAGGAAGGGGGUCCUCGGUCCCCGCCAGCCAGCCAGGGAUACGGCUCCGACUUCCGUGUUCCAGCUGCUUUCUGCGGCCAGCCAACUGGUGCAGUGGCAAAGGAGCGAGCGCCAAGGCGACCGUCUUAGCAGAAUGGCAACAGUGGCCCCAGGACUUCGAGUGAGCCAGCGAGAUUCCCUAAAGACGGCUUUCCGCAGAGGAGGAGGCAGAAAGUCUCUUCUGCGUGGAAUUCUGAGCACCGCAGGGACCAGCACCGAGAACA